rnacentral:rRNA from 1 species
CGGCGGACGGGUGAGUAACGCGUGGGUAACCUGCCCUAGAGUGGGGGGACAACAGUUGGAAACGACUGCUAAUACCGCAUAAGCCCACGGUACCGCAUGGUACUGAGGGAAAAGGAUUUAUUCGCUUUAGGAUGGACUCGCGUCCAAUUAGCUAGUUGGUGAGGUAACGGCCCACCAAGGCGACGAUUGGUAGCCGGACUGAGAGGUUGAACGGCCACAUUGGGACUGAGACACGGUCCAA